rnacentral:snRNA from 1 species
UUAGAAAUGCAGGCGGUCUGAU